ensembl:lincRNA
AUUGGACUGAAGUCAGGGACCCCUAUGGAGGAAUUAGGGAAAGGACUGGAGGAGCUGAAGAGGAGGGCAAUCUCAUAGAAAGACAAGCAGUCUCAACUAACCCAGACCCCUGGGAGCUCCCAGAGACUGAGCCACCAAACAGGCAGGAUACAUGGGCUGGUCCGAGGCCCCCCCAGCACAUAUUUAGCAGAUGAAUGCCUGGUCUGGCCUCAGUGGGAGAAGAUGUGCCUAAUCCUCAAGAGACCUGAGGCCCCAGAGAAGGAGGAUGCCAGGGUUGGGAGUACCCUCUUGGAGAGCAACCAUCAUUGCUAAAUGCUGGUCAAUUUCUGGUUGGUUGGCAGAUUCUCCUUCUCCUCUGAGAGGAUCAUGCAUCAACUUCAGUUCACUUUCCCAAGAUUUGUUGGAGUUUUUGUUAUGGGCAGCAAGAUUCACUGCUGGAGGAUCAAUGACUGAGCCUGGGAAAAGCUGUGCAAGUUCAGCAUUAAUCACAACAGAAACUGCUUCAUUGGGCGGAGUAAGCGGGGGAGUCAUAAAAAGUGGUGUUGUUUUUGGAGUGGGGGGAAUAACAUCAGAUGGAUGGAUGAAGAAUCCAGGAGCAGCCACUGGGUUGGAAGGCACUGCAUUGUGAACAGGACCUGCUGCAGCUGCGGCUGCUGCUGAUGCAGCUGCGGCUGCUGCUGCUGUUGUCUGAUGCAACUUGGCUUCCAGCUUUGCUUUCUGUAAAAGUAAAAGCAAUACCUAUAGAAGAAUCCUGACUAAGUUGUGAGGACACUUGAUGAUCAUAUAUAAUAAACUUAAAUGAGAUUAAUAAAAUUCUGGUUACACAAGACAAAAGUGGACUUAACACAUGAAGCACUGCCUUGUUAGGAACAUUUCUGAGUAUAUUAUACAAAAUUUCCUUAUAUAUUAAGGGAACUAGAAAGUGCUCAAAAAAUGAAAUGCCAGCAGAACCAUUAAAUAUAAAUAAUGAAACCAGUUCUGCACAAAACAAAAUGAAGCAAAGUGAAUUCAAUGUUAACUGACAGGAUACAAUUUCUCAAACAGAAUUUUCACGGGUUGCAUUUAGUCAGCAAUUAAAUCGAUAAACCAUGUUAUCAUAAUUGCUGAAAUUAAUGUCCUACAAUUUAUAAUGUCCAACACUCUCUGAUCAAUGAAAACAGUAACUGAUAAGUAUAUAAUGCUUCUCCAAAGGCUUUUAAACAUAAAAGUACAACUGACUUCAAGGCUACCCAAGGAGUAUCAUUUUUUUCUCAAUCACAUCCUAAAUAAAAUGCAGUCAGAUAAUUUUAAUACAUUUAAACAUAUCACAAAGGCAUUACCUCAAUUUUCUGUUGAAAACGAUUAGCUCAGAUUGGACAACCUACUUUCUACAGUCAUUUCUACAGUACUUUUCAGCUUCUGAAGUUUAGAGACAGCAUGAACAAAGAGCCAAAGAGUCUCCAACCUGUUGCUGAAGCUUCAAAAGCUGCUGCUGUUUCUCUUGCAGCACCUGCAGCUGUUGCUCGGCUGAAGCCAUUGCAUGAGAGAGAGACUGCAAAGCUACCUGGGCUGCUGAACUCAGGGCUGUCGAGGCUUCCCCAACUGUGCCAGAUGACAGGCCACCUACUGCAGGAGGAACCCCGAAGGAACUCACUGGCAUGAGACAAGGGAAAGACAAAACAAGACACCAGGAUGAAGAAAAGACCAUGGAGCAUGUGUACAAGUACUUGUGGGAGUCUCCUGGCUCUUUUCACCAACACAGGUCUCAGAUGAACUUAGGGCAUCAGCUUUGGCAGUAAGCACCAACUACCUACUGAACCACCCUCACCGCCUAGUCUGAACUUCCUAAAAUUAUAAAUCUCUGUAUCUCUUAGGGC